AAUGGGUCAGCGACUUAUAUUCUGUAGCAAGGUUAACCGAAUAGGGGAGCCGAAGGGAAACCGAGUCUUAACUGGGCGUUAAGUUGCAGGGUAUAGACCCGAAACCCGGUGAUCUAGCCAUGGGCAGGUUGAAGGUUGGGUAACACUAACUGGAGGACCGAACCGACUAAUGUUGAAAAAUUAGCGGAUGACUUGUGGCUGGGGGUGAAAGGCCAAUCAAACCGGGAGAUAGCUGGUUCUCCCCGAAAGCUAUUUAGGUAGCGCCUCGUGAAUUCAUCUCCGGGGGUAGAGCACUGUUUCGGCAAGGGGGUCAUCCCGACUUACCAACCCGAUGCAAACUGCGAAUACCGGAGAAUGUUAUCACGGGAGACACACGGCGGGUGCUAACGUCCGUCGUGAAGAGGGAAACAACCCAGACCGCCAGCUAAGGUCCCAAAGUCAUGGUUAAGUGGGAAACGAUGUGGGAAGGCCCAGACAGCCAGGAUGUUGGCUUAGAAGCAGCCAUCAUUUAAAGAAAGCGUAAUAGCUCACUGGUCGAGUCGGCCUGCGCGGAAGAUGUAACGGGGCUAAACCAUGCACCGAAGCUGCGGCAGCGACGCUUAUG
rnacentral:rRNA from 1 species